UCGGAAGUCGAACUUGAUGACCAAACACCAACUGAACCUCUCCUCCCCCUCCUUUUCCGUUGGGCCCUGGGUUUGAUCUUUUUAAUACACGCAACUCUAUGUUGUUGAAAAUGCCAAAUUGAGCAAAUAACGGAAGGAUAGCAGUCCGCACACUGUCCACAGACAUAUCGCCAGUUGGAGUGGAGGAGGUGAUGACACCAGGACCGGUGAAGAGGAUGUUAAACGGGGCUUUGGAGAAUGGCGCAAGGAGGCACAUUGGAAGUAAAAAAUAACUAAUGCCACGACUACAGUUGGAAGGGAUCUCAUGUUUUAUGACACCUCCGCUUGCACCGGAGCCGGGGGCACUCCCGGUUAUGAGACCAGGUUUAUAGAGGACGAUGGUACCAGUGUAGGAAAUCUCCAUAUGUGAGCCAUUGG
rnacentral:sRNA from 2 species